rnacentral:rRNA from 1 species
AACGAACGCUGGCGGCAUGCCUAACACAUGCAAGUCGAACGAAGCCUUCGGGCUUAGUGGCGCACGGGUGCGUAACGCGUGGGAAUCUGCCCUUGGGUUCGGAAUAACAGUUAGAAAUGACUGCUAAUACCGAAUGAUGUCUUCGGACCAAAGAUUUAUCGCCCAAGGAUGAGCCCGCGUCGGAUUAGCUGGUUGGUGAGGUAAAGGCUCACCAAGGCGACGAUCCGUAGCUGGUCUGAGAGGAUGAUCAGCCACACUGGGACUGAGACACGGCCCAGACUCCUACGGGAGGCAGCAGUGGGGAAUAUUGGACAAUGGGCGAAAGCCUGAUCCAGCAAUGCCGCGUGAGUGAUGAAGGCCUUAGGGUUGUAAAGCUCUUUUACCCGGGAUGAUAAUGACAGUACCGGGAGAAUAAGCCCCCGGCUAACUCCGUGCCAGCAGCCGCGGUAAU